UCUGGAAGUCCAAUAAUGUAAUAAUAAUAAUUAUUAUAUAUAGCUACAGAUGACAUUUGAUAAGUUCUGAAUUACCGAUCCAGUAUCACUGAUAAUUUUGUGCCAGGGUGGACGCUUUAGAGAUGAGAGUCAGGUGUCAUUCACGUGAAGCACUAUGAAUUCUUUGAUUGGGACGGAAUGUUGGUUGGGGAACCACGUGAUGCACACUUGGGAGCUUGACACGUUCGGUCCACAUCCAGGUCGAAAGUGGCUUGUUUUAUUUUCUUUGCAGCGAGAUAGCACACAAAUUUGGAGAAAAUUAUCGGGUUUAAUGGAGAGCAAAACGAAAGUUAUCUCGAGUGACCUUCCUAUUAGUACAUAUUAGGCAAGUUGGGGCGAGGCAUCUGAGCU
rnacentral:lncRNA from 1 species